CUCUGUGACUCCUACGGGAGGCAGCAGUGGGGAAUAUUGCACAAUGGGCGCAAGCCUGAUGCAGCCAUGCCGCGUGUGUGAAGAAGGCCUUCGGGUUGUAAAGCACUUUCAGUUGUGAGGAAGGUGGUGUCGUUAAUAGCGGCAUCAUUUGACGUUAGACAACAGAAGAAGCACCGGCUAACUCCGUGCCAGCAGCCGCGGUAAUACGGAGGGUGCGAGCGUUAAUCGGAAUUACUGGGCGUAAAGCGCAUGCAGGUGGUUUGUUAAGUCAGAUGUGAAAGCCCGGGGCUCAACCUCGGAACUGCAUUUGAAACUGGCAGACUAGAGUACUGUAGAGGGGGUAGAAUUUCAGGUGUAGCGGUGAAAUGCGUAGAGAUCUGAAGGAAUACCGGUGGCGAAGGCGGCCCCCUGGACAGAUACUGACACUCAGAUGCGAAAGCGUGGGGAGCAAACAGGAUUAGAUACCCUGUAG
rnacentral:rRNA from 1 species